GACGAACGCUGGCGGCGUGCCUAAUACAUGCAAGUUGAGCGCUGAAGGUUGGUACUUGUACCGACUGGAUGAGCAGCGAACGGGUGAGUAACGCGUGGGGAAUCUGCCUUUGAGCGGGGGACAACAUUUGGAAACGAAUGCUAAUACCGCAUAAAAACUUUAAACACAAGUUUUAAGUUUGAAAGAUGCAAUUGCAUCACUCAAAGAUGAUCCCGCGUUGUAUUAGCUAGUUGGUGAGGUAAAGGCUCACCAAGGCGAUGAUACAUAGCCGACCUGAGAGGGGGAUCGGCCACAUUGGGACUGAGACACGGCCCAAACUCCUACGGGAGGCAGCAGUAGGGAAUCUUCGGCAAUGGACGAAAGUCUGACCGAGCAACGCCGCGUGAGUGAAGAAGGUUUUCGGAUCGUAAAACUCUGUUGGUAGAGAAGAACGUUGGGGAGAGUGGAAAGCUCAUCAAGUGACGGUAACUACCCAGAAAGGGACGGCUAACUACGUG
rnacentral:rRNA from 1 species